GCUCCGAUAGCCCAAUGGCUAGAGCGCGCGGCUUUUCGAGCCAGUGGACCUGGGUUCGAGUCCCAGUCGGAACG